AAGCCUUGCUCAUGGUGAACAGCUUGCCAAGCUGGUGAGAAGGUUUCCCUCAGCAGUCAGUCCCAGAGAGAACCAUCCUGCAUGCCCACCUGUGCAGCCAGACCUGCCCAUGGCACAUCCCGAGCCUUCAUCCCUGGCUGAGGCCAUGGAUGAGGUCAGCAUCUCAGCUCACAGCUUCUUCAGCCUCCCCCUGCAGCACCACCAGUGCCCAGAUUUGUAGUUUCUGAGUUUGGUAAACUUCUUACAGCACUUACAGUCUUUACUGUAAGGCAGUUUUCUUCUUGGAGAUGAUGGUAACAAAUGUGACUACUGCAGCAAAAUACACACAUGGGUCUUAAGAAAGCCACUUACAUUGUUCUCAACAGAACUGCAAAACCACUGGGCUGGAUGCUGUAAACAGUACUGAGCAUCCUUAAGUGAGGAGGAUUUCUG